rnacentral:antisense_RNA from 1 species
UGAUAUGGCGGCUGUUCGCGGGGCACAUUCGUGUGCGCCAGUUGCUCUCCAUUGGUCUGUCAACCCGCGUACAGCUGCCACCCAA